UACGUAGGGGGCAAGCGUUGUCCGGAAUCAUUGGGCGUAAAGCGCGCGUAGGCGGCCCGGUAAGUCCGCUGUAAAAGUCCAGGGCUCAACCCUGGAAAGCCGGUGGAUACUGUCGGGCUAGAGUCCGGAAGAGGCGAGUGGAAUUCCUGGGUGUAGCGGUGGAAUGCGCAGAUAUCAGGAGGAACACCGAUGGCGAAGGCAGGUCUCUGGGCCACUACUGACGCUGAGAAGCGAAAGCAUGGGGAGC
rnacentral:rRNA from 1 species